AGUGAACGCUGGCGGUAGGCCUAACACAUGCAAGUCGAACGGCAGCACAGUAAGAGCUUGCUCUUACGGGUGGCGAGUGGCGGACGGGUGAGGAAUACAUCGGAAUCUACUUUUUCGUGGGGGAUAACGUAGGGAAACUUACGCUAAUACCGCAUACGACCUCCGGGUGAAAGCAGGGGAUCUUCGGACCUUGCGCGAUUGAAUGAGCCGAUGUCGGAUUAGCUAGUUGGCGGGGUAAAGGCCCACCAAGGCGACGAUCCGUAGCUGGUCUGAGAGGAUGAUCAGCCACACUGGAACUGAGACACGGUCCAGACUCCUACGGGAGGCAGCAGUGGGGAAUAUUGGACAAUGGGCGCAAGCCUGAUCCAGCCAUACCGCGUGGGUGAAGAAGGCCUUCGGGUUGUAAAGCCCUUCUGUUGGGAAAGAAAAGCAGCAGGUUAAUACCCCGCUGUUCUGACGGUACCCAAAGAAUAAGCACCGGCUAACUUCGUG
rnacentral:rRNA from 1 species